rnacentral:rRNA from 1 species
GUGGGGAAUCUUCCGCAAUGGACGAAAGUCUGACGGAGCAACGCCGCGUGAGUGAAGAAGGUUUUCGGAUCGUAAAGCUCUUUCGUUAGGGACGAACGUGCUCUUUGUGAAUAAUGAGGAGUAAUGACGGUACCUAAAUAAGAAGCCACGGCUAACUACGUGCCAGCAGCCGCGGUAAUACGUAGGUGGCAAGCGUUGUCCGGAAUUAUUGGGCGUAAAGCGCGCGCAGGCGGGAUAUCAAGUCUGUCUUAAAAGUGCGAGGCUCAACCUCGUGAGGGGACAGAAACUGGUAUUCUUGAGUGUCGGAGAGGAAAGUGGAAUUCCAAGUGUAGCGGUGAAAUGCGUAGAGAUUUGGAAGAACACCAGUGGCGAAGGCGACUUUCUGGACGAUGUCUGACGCUGAGGCGCGAAAGCUAGGGGAGCGAACGGGAUUAGAACCCCGGUAGUCC